rnacentral:rRNA from 1 species
AUUGAACGCUGGCGGCAGGCCUAACACAUGCAAGUCGAACGAGUGGCGGACGGGUGAGUAAUGUCUGGGAAACUGCCUGAUGGAGGGGGAUAACUACUGGAAACGGUAGCUAAUACCGCAUACCAUCGGAUGUGCCCAGAUGGGAUUAGCUAGUAGGUGGGGUAACGGCUCACCUAGGCGAAGAUCCCUAGCUGGUCUGAGAGGAUUACCAGGCAACCUGGAACUGAGACACGGGCCAGAACCCUACGGGAGGGCGGAUGUGGGAAGAUUGCACCAUGGGGGCAAGCCUUAUGCAGCCCUUCCGGGGGUAUGAAGAAGGCCUUCGGGUUUUAAAGUACUUUCAGCGGGGAGGCGUUACCCGCAGAAGAAGCACCGGCUAACUCCGUGCCAGCAGCCGCGGUAAUUC